rnacentral:misc_RNA from 1 species
GAUGAAGAACGCAGUGAAAUGCGAUAAGUAAUGUGAAUUGCAGAAUUCAGUGAAUCAUCGAAUCUUUGAACGCACCUUGCGCCUUUUGGUAUUCCGAAAGGCACACCUGUUUGAGCGUCAUGAAUACCUCAAUCUCCAUCUUUUCUUCGGAUUGAUGGGUGACUUGGAUGUUGAGCCCUGCUGGUAUGCUAUAUCAGCUGGCUUUAAACUUAUUAGCCGACUCUGUACUGGAUCGGUUUGACUCGACGUGAUAAUAUUAUCGUUGAGGAUGCAUGUCUCAUGCAGCCGGAAAGUAUCAAAGCAGCUUCUAGCUUGCCUUUAGUGCACUUUUACAUUUUAGACCUCAGAUCAGGUGGGACUACCCGCUGAACUUAAGCAUAUCAAUAAGCGGAGGA